UGACCAGAAUUGAACCAGACCCUUUGGUCCAUAGGCAGACGCUCUAUCCACUGAGCGAAACAGGCUAGGCCCUAAGAUAUGAUCUUGACAGUUCUUAUUUGCUAUGUCCCUGGAGCUGCUCUGGUCUUUGCAUUUUCCCAGCCUCGCGCUCCUGCCUUCCUGUCUGUUCUGUGAAUUUCCCUAAACCCUUCCAAUAAACUUAUUUUUUUACUUCAGUUAAUCCAGGGUUGGUUUGUGUUGUUUGUGCUUUGAAGCAUACAACAUAGGUGGGUGAGUUAACCUUCCUCAGAAGUGUUCUGAAUGGGAUACAGAAACUCUCAGUGGCUCACUUUAGUCACUGGUUGUAGAAAAAAAAAGGGGUAUGGGGGAGGCUGCAGAGGAACUUAUAUAAUCUAUAUGCUCCAAGGAAGUAAGAGGCAUUGUAAGUAUGGAUGACUGUUUAUCCUCAGAUCUGCGUGACUACAUAAAUAAUAUUGCAUGAAUGAAUGAAUGAAUGAAUGAAUGAAUGAAUGAAAUCUUCAAAGAAAAGUUGGCUCGCCUUGGAGUUUCCUUCCCAGGUGGAGAACAUAAGUUGCAAAUAACUGUACCUACUUAUCUGUGUAUCAUUAUGAUACGAUUUAACUCACAGUCUUAACAGCAAAAAUACUUUUUAUCCGAUAAAUGUCUUGAGAUGGGAAGAGAACUUGACCCUGGAAGUCCUGAUUCCUUAAGCUCUGCUUCCUUGAUAGGUUCUGGAAGGGAAGAAUCUGAAGAGGGAUUGAUUUGCCUGUGGCCUCGUGAAUCAUUUUAAUUGUCUAGCACUGGGCUUACAUCAUCUUUGUGGCUCAACCCUGAAAGAGGUUUCUGUACUAUUAAGAAGCUCCCAAGUUAAAAACUAAUUCCCAAAUAGGAUUGCACAUUUUGGAAGGCAUUGGAGGAUCUGCAGUGCACCGUCAGGAAGCCCCGUGCCAAGCAAAUGCUUCUUUGAGACCUGGGCUGACACAGAGCGACUCAUCGGCUUUGUGGCGUUUUAAAGGCACAGGCUGCUGUUCCUGCUUCCCGAAUCAAAAAGCCAUGCGCAUCCUGGCAGAGGGGACCCUGAGGGCGUGCGGGGGGUCGAUGCUGGAAAUCCACAGGGAACAAGCCUGGUCUUGACCAGAGAGGGCCAUCACAUCCAUCAACACUUCCAAGAAUUAUAAGAUGGCUUCAGCUGCCAUUGAUUAAACCAGAAAAGAGCUGAAAACUGAGAAUGAAGAAGUCAAGCUUCUUAAAGUGACUCACAGGAAGGAAACCUGGUGAACAGACAGUUGGAUGAUUGGCUUCUGACUCACAGGAAGUUUCUUGACUCGAGAUUUCUGGCCAUCUACCACCAUUCGUUUGUUAUCAAACCACUGAAAUUUCUCCGGCAGCACGCAGAGGCUGUCUUGGUAAAAGUCUUGGGUUUAGAUGAACUGUUGGGCGCUUGCUGGUUGCAAACACUGAAUUAAAGUGGACAAUUUGGAGAUUUACAGAAGGCCUCACAUAAAAAAGCAUAAAGCUCUAUGACGGUCAUGCUCAUGGUUUUAAAGCAUUAUGCCAGCCCUGCAAGAAAGGGUCAGGACAAAUCAAAUCUGGUGUGUCUUGCUCUGUGUUGUGGUCUCAGUGCAUAGACCUCACUUGCAGAGAAGAAGAUGUGGGCUAAUGUUAUGCUAAUAUUAUGAUGACUUUAAGGGCUUGGCUAAUACAUAACUUAUGUAGAAUCUAUUAAACAGAUAUGAUUGAUGUCCCCUAUCCAUUUCUUCUUUAGCAACCUUCUCAUCAUUGUGGCAGUGUUGGAGGUGCCCUGGGUCUCCCUCCCAGAAAGGCCUGCUGUUGAACUGUAAGAAGUGCAGUCAGCCUGCAGCCUAUGGCUGUUAGCGCCUUAGAACCUGCCUCCUCCUUCCUGGGGCAGCCCCCAGCCAAUGGCUGAGCACAGAGCAGCUGGGAGGCCUGGACAUUUCUCUUCAACACUAACUCCUCUAAUGAGCAAUCUUUGUUCUGGAAUUCCCCAUCGGGCUGACCAAAACUUCCUCUGAUAUGCGUUGUGGUCUGAGCCCCUGUCCAAUUCUGCUUUCUUCCUCUUUUGUCUUCACCAAUGUUGCUCCCUAAUAAACCUUUUGCAUUCUUAGUUCUGCCUCGGCGUCUGCUUCUCUGAUGGCACACUUGGCACAACCAUCAUGGCCUCAGUGAAGUGGGAAGGACUAAAAAGUAGGAAACAAAAAUAUUUUCAGGGAUACAGUCAUACCAGCAAAGAAGGGGGGGAGGAGCACCAUUCUUCCUGUUCAGGAGAGUACAGGGAGGAGAAGACGGGUUGAGACAGGGUAAGAACUUCACACAUCAAGAUCAUACCUCUCCUCUU